rnacentral:rRNA from 2 species
CCUACGGGAGGCAGCAGUAGGGAAUCUUCCACAAUGGACGAAAGUCUGAUGGAGCAACGCCGCGUGAGCGAUGAAGGCCUUCGGGUCGUAAAGCUCUGUUGUUAGGGAAGAACAAGUACCGGAGUAACUGCCGGUACCUUGACGGUACCUAACCAGAAAGCCACGGCUAACUACGUGCCAGCAGCCGCGGUAAU